AGCUUUAACCAUUUAAAAUGACUGACGAAAAGUUGAUUAUUCCUAAAAGGGCUAUCCAUUUUAAUGAGCUUAUGUAUGAUUUGUGCUCUUUCUCUGUCAAUGCUAAUCAAAGCCUUUUCCUUUUUUAAUCUGAUGCUUAUGACGUCUCGCAUGUGUGUUGCCACAGUAUGUUAUCAAAAUGCACAAGUUUAUUGUGACAAUCAGUUAUAAGUGAUAAGAUUUUAAAGAUUAAUAAAUUAUAAUUGAAUGGGUUCUCAAGUAUAAAGUUUUCUCCUUGUCCCUGCUAAAAUACUAUACAUGGCAUUUGUUUACCCAUAAUUAUUUUAGUAUGGACUAAAACAUGAUGAGUGCUGUUGUAGAAAAAUGAUCAGUUAUCAAAUCACACUUAUGCUACAGCAGUUUGCUUAUUUACAAUAUUUAGUUCCUUUCCAAGCUAUUUGUUAACUUUAAUUGGGAAUUUACCAUUAUUAUAAAUAUGAAAAAAGGACUUUUGUGGCUUUCAUAUACUGUGGCAAAACAAUCUAUUCCUGCUGUGUACCUGCUGUGUCCAUUUCUGCUGCAUACAGAUGUGUGUGUUUGUUUUGCAGACCUUGCUGCAACUCUGCUUCUAACAACUCCAACUCAAAAAGAAUUAGACAGUGGAACCGCUACAUUCAUCUGCUUAGCUUCAAAAUUUUUUCCUAAAUCACACACAUUUAAGUGGACCCAUGACGUGAUAAACCUCAAUAAUAAGGUCAAACGCACUAUAUUAAGCAAAGAGAAAGAUACUUACACUGCCAUGAGCAUUUUGGAACUCAAUGCCAAUGAAUGGAUCGAAUCAUCUUCUCCACUUAAGUGCGAGUUCCAGCACAAGGCACAGAAUCUGUCCGAAGGGGCAAGUCAUGUGUUGGUGGAUCAGCAGCAGCCAAAGGUGACAAUAAUCCCACCUUUAAACAGAGACAUUCUCAUCAACAGAUCUGGCGACCUUGUGUGCAAGGCUGAAGGACCAGAAGGUUUCACUGGCAUUAGGUGGUUUGUUAACGAUGUUGAGACCACUUCACUACCUAAAGAAGACGUGUCUGGGAAGACAGCAGUCACACUCACCACAUCGAUCUCUUACGCAGAGUGGAAUAGUGGCACCAAAUUUACCUGUGAGGUUCUUCAUUCAGCAUUUGCUCAGGGGUUUAUUAAAGAAGACUACCAAAGAGAAAAUGGCAACAGGAAAUGCCCUGAGGUUUACUUGCUCGCUCCAUCAGAGAGCUCAGGGGGGAAAACGGUGACCCUGACUUGCUAUGUUAAAGAGUUCUACCCUCAGGAGGUGGCUGUGUCUUGGCUUGUUGAUGAUAAACAAGUGGACAAUGUGGUGAGCUUUAAGCAGAACACCACUAAGGUUAUUGAGAGGGACAACUACUUUUCAGCAUACAGCCAGCUGAUUGUCAAUACUGCUGAUUGGACCAAUGGCAGUGUGUUCACCUGCAAUGUUUAUCAUGAGUCCAUCGCGGACCCUGUGCGCCACAUAUCCAGAUCCAUCGCUUACAAUUCAAAUCCACCCACCUUAGUGAAUCUCAGUCUAAAUGUUCCCCAAAGCUGCGCACCUUCUGUCUUGUAUUAAAAAGUGUAAUCUGCUUUUAAUGCUUGUUUUCUUUAGAUUUUUGUCUUCUACGUCUUAUUCUUUUCAAAUAACAUAAUGUCAUUGUCCUUCCAGUCUGUCUGAUGCUUGUGUGUUUUUGGUUUUUGGAAUAUGCCCAAUGCAAUAUCACACUGAAACAAUGACAAUAAAAAAAUCUUUCAGCAUG